GUGAGAACCCCCAAGAGCUAGAGCCAGAGUGAGGCCUCUGUAGGCCAUCCUGGGGGUGGCUGGCCACGGAAGGUCUAUAAGGGAGCCGGGGGGAGGGGCGAGCAAGGGAAGCGGAGCAGAAUUUCUGAGGUGGUGAGGAAAAGGAAUACAACAUGUGCCAGUAACUGUUUCAAUUUGCCCCUUAUCCUUGGAGAGGGUACCAAGGUGGCAGCCAGGAGGGCUGUAAUAGAGGCUGAACCAGAAGAAGGGCAUGGUGGGGGAGCCACCUGGCCUUCCUCUGUUGAGGCCUGGAAGCUUCUGCCCAGGCCAAGGCUUACUGCAGGAGGCCUUUCUCCCAGAGCUCUCUGCAGACUUGGUGACACAUCCCCAAGGCAAGCAAGGGCCCCCGGCCUGGGCCCACCUCAAACCCUACAGCUCCAGGGGAGAGGAGCCAACAUGGCCCUCCCUUCUCUUGGUCCCUACAGUCUUGUGUGAGCGCUGUUACCAAGGGGAGUAACAGCUAACAUCUACUGAGCGCUGUGUGCCAGGCACCAUUCUAAGCACUCUUAGCAGCUGCAACUGCCACCUCCUGCAGUCCUGCCUCCAUUCACAGACCACACUCCAUGUGCCUGUCCCAUGCUGCCGUCCUGGGAGUGUCCCACAAGUGCCUGGGUCUUGGUGAAGGCUUGGUGAGUGGUGAGUGUCUGUGGACUUGACUUGUCCUCCACUGGGAUUCACGGUGGAUGUGGUGUGCCCAUGGCGAUGAAGGCCUUGGACUGCUCUGACUUGAACCGGUUGUCCAUCUAUGCCACGGAGAUUCAUUGAGCACCCAUCACACGCUGGACUUGGUGCUGAGCACUUGGGAGCAAAUCACAGACAGGGGUCUUUCUCUCAUAGAGCUUACUGUUGUGGAAG
rnacentral:lncRNA from 1 species